CAACUUCUAACGGUGGAUCUCUUGGCUCGU
rnacentral:rRNA from 1 species